AGUGAACGCUGGCGGUAGGCCUAACACAUGCAAGUCGAACGGCAGCACAGUAAGAGCUUGCUCUUACGGGUGGCGAGUGGCGGACGGGUGAGGAAUACAUCGGAAUCUACUUUUUCGUGGGGGAUAACGUAGGGAAACUUACGCUAAUACCGCAUACGACCUACGGGUGAAAGCAGGGGAUCUUCGGACCUUGCGCGAUUGAAUGAGCCGAUGUCGGAUUAGCUAGUUGGCGGGGUAAAGGCCCACCAAGGCGACGAUCCGUAGCUGGUCUGAGAGGAUGAUCAGCCACACUGGAACUGAGACACGGUCCAGACUCCUACGGGAGGCAGCAGUGGGGAAUAUUGGAAAAUGGGCGCAAGCCUGAUCCAGCCAUACCGCGUGGGUGAAGAAGGCCGUCGGGUUGUAAAGCCCUUUUGUUGGGAAAGAAAAGCAGCAGGUUAAUACCCCGCUGUUCUGACGGUACCCAAAGAAUAAGCACCGGCUAACUUCG
rnacentral:rRNA from 1 species